rnacentral:rRNA from 1 species
GAUCCUGGCUCAGAUUGAACGCUGGCGGCAGGCUUAACACAUGCAAGUCGAACGGUAACAUAAAGGAGCUUGCUUCUUUGAUGACGAGUGGCGGACGGGUGAGUAAUGCUUGGGAAUCUAGCUUAUGGAGGGGGGAUAACUACGGGAAACUGUAGCUAAUACCGCGUAGAAUCGGGAGAUGAAAGUGUGGGACCUUCGGGCCACAUGCCAUAGGAUGAGCCCAAGUGGGAUUAGGUAGUUGGUGG